CCAAGUUUAACAAAAUUCUUGCCAAUCAAGAAUUGGAAAAUGGGUGCGUAUGUAGAUGGCGGAAAUGAGUUUUGGUACAAUGGUUGCAAAAUGAUUUUCAACAUCAUUAUCAUUGAACAAAGGAAAAUUCGAAGAAUCAAUUCAAUAAGGAAGUGUUCAUUUCCAAUUCAUAUGUUCAAUUCAAAUAUACUAACACUGUUUUCUGUUUCCCUGUGAUAGCG
rnacentral:lncRNA from 1 species